rnacentral:rRNA from 1 species
UACGUAGGCAGCGAGCGUUGUUCGGAAUUACUGGGCGUAAAGAGUGUGUAGGCGGUGUUCCCAGUCUGUUGUGAAAUCUCCCGGCUUAACUGGGAGGGUGCAGCGGAAACUAGAAUGCUAGAGGGUGGGAGAGGUAAGCGGAAUUCCGUGGUGUAGGCGGUGAAAUGCGUAGAUAUCAGGAGGAACACCGGUGGUGUAGACGGCUCUCUGGACCGUAACUGACGCUGAGACACGAAAGCGUGGGUAGCAAACAGG